rnacentral:rRNA from 1 species
AUUGAACGCUGGCGGCAUGCUUUACACAUGCAAGUCGAACGGUAACAGGCCUUCGGGUGCUGACGAGUGGCGCACGGGUGAGUAAUGCAUCGGAACGUGCCCAGAGGUGGGGGAUAACGCAGCGAAAGCUGUGCUAAUACCGCAUGUGAUCUGAGGAUGAAAGCGGGGGACCAGGCAGCAAUGUUUGGCCUCGCGCCUUUGGAGCGGCCGAUGUCAGAUUAGGUAGUUGGUGGGGUAAAGGCCUACCAAGCCGACGAUCUGUAGAUGGUCUGAGAGGACGACCAGCCACAAGGGGACUGAGACACGGCCCAGACUCCUACGGGAGGCAGCAGUGGGGAAUUUUGGACAAUGGGCGCAAGCCUGAUCCAGCAAUGCCGCGUGCGGGAAGAAGGCCUUCGGGUUGUAAACCGCUUUUGUACGGAACGAAAAGGCUCUGGCUAAUACCUGGGGCUGAUGACGGUACCGUAAGAAUAAGCACCGGCUAACUACGUG